rnacentral:rRNA from 1 species
AGAGUUUGAUCAUGGCUCAGGAUGAACGCUGGCGGCGUGCCUAAUACAUGCAAGUCGAGCGAAUGGAUUAAGAGCUUGCUCUUAUGAAGUUAGCGGCGGACGGGUGAGUAACACGUGGGUAACCUGCCCAUAAGACUGGGAUAACUCCGGGAAACCGGGGCUAAUACCGGAUAACAUUUUGAACCGCAUGGUUCGAAAUUGAAAGGCGGCUUCGGCUGUCACUUAUGGAUGGACCCGCGUCGCAUUAGCUAGUUGGUGAGGUAACGGCUCACCAAGGCAACGAUGCGUAGCCGACCUGAGAGGGUGAUCGGCCACACUGGGACUGAGACACGGCCCAGACUCCUACGGGAGGCAGCAGUAGGGAAUCUUCCGCAAUGGACGAAAGUCUGACGGAGCAACGCCGCGUGAGUGAUGAAGGCUUUCGGGUCGUAAAACUCUGUUGUUAGGGAAGAACAAGUGCUAGUUGAAUAAGCUGGCACCUUGACGGUACCUAACCAGAAAGCCACGGCUAACUACGUGCCAGCAGCCGCGGUAAUAC